AGCAUAUGUUCCUGAUCGACGUGACAGAUCUGAUGCAUCAGUUCAAGGGUUCAACUUAAUGACAAAGAAACGGAAAGCUAAGGAGGAAUUGACCAACCUUGAUAGAAGAGAUGAAGAUGGCAAUGUGCAGUCUAGCCUUAAGCAGCAAAUUGAUGACUCCAUUUCAUUGAAGAAAAAGGGAAAAAGAAAAGUGGAGUCUGACACUGGCACUUCAGACAUGGAAACUCCUGAGCCACCUCUUACAGAAAUGGGAGCAGCAGACAUGGGCAUAGAUUCCAAACCACAAAAAAAGCCAUAUACACCAAUUACACCUACUGUUCAUACUGGCUUCUCAUUUUCCAUUAUACAUCUUCUUUCAGCAGUUCGCCUGGCGAUGAUCAGUCCUCUCCCAGAAGAUUCCUUGGAAGUCAUCAAACCUAGUGAUGGGCAUAAUGGAAAGCAUGAAGGUGGCACAAAUGGUGUUGUUUCUUGUGAGAGUGCAGAUGUAAAUAAAUCUGACCAUGCUCUGCAGGUGAAUGUGCCUUCUCUUACCGUACAAGAAAUUGUUAACCGUGUCAGAUCAAACCCUGGGGAUCCUUGUAUUCUUGAGACACAAGAGCCUCUUCAGGAUCUGGUCAGAGGAGUUCUCAAGAUACUUUCAUCAAAAACAGCUCCUUUGGGAGCAAAGGGUUGGAAGGCACUAGGGGUUUAUGAAAAAUCUGCAAAGAGUUGGUCUUGGAUUGGUCCAGUUUCCCAUACUUCAACGGAUCAUGAGACUAUUGAGGAGGUAACAUCUCCUGAAUAUUGGGGCCUUCCUCAUAAAAUGCUUGUCAAGUUGGUUGAUUCAUUUGCUAAUUGGCUGAAAAGUGGUCAAGAGACUCUUCAGCAAAUUGGAAGCCUUCCAGCACCACCCGUGUCAUUGAUGCAAUGUAACCUGGAUGAGAAAGAAAGGUUCAGGGACCUGAGAGCUCAGAAGAGUCUCAACACUAUUAGCCCAAGUUCUGAAGAAGUGAGGGCUUAUUUCCGUAAGGAAGAAUUUUUAAGGUAUUCCAUUCCUGACAGAGCCUUCUCAUACACAGCAGCUGAUAGUAAAAAAUCCAUUGUUGCUCCUUUGAGACGGUGUGGUGGUAAGCCAACUUCAAAAGCCCGAGACCAUUUCAUGCUGAAGCGUGAUCGGCCUCCCCAUGUUACAAUUCUUUGUCUUGUAAGAGAUGCAGCUGCCAGAUUGCCUGGAAGUAUGGGCACUAGAGCAGAUGUUUGUACCUUGAUAAGGGACUCUCAGUAUAUUGUUGAAGACGUGUCUGAUGCGCAAGUGAAUCAGGUAGUCAGUGGAGCCUUGGACCGUUUACAUUAUGAACGUGAUCCUUGUGUACAAUUUGAUGGGGAGAGGAAAUUGUGGGUUUACUUACACAGAGAGAGAGAAGAAGAAGAUUUUGAAGAUGAUGGUACUUCAUCUACAAAGAAAUGGAAGAGACAGAAAAAGGAUCCAGCUGACCAACCCGACCAAGGAGCUGUAACUGUGGCUUUUCAUGGGAAUGUGGAUCAGUCUGGAUUUGAUUUGGGCUCUGACCUCAAUGUUGCACCAUCAGGCCCUGAUGAUGAUAAAAGAGCAAAACUUGUGCAUAAUGAUGCGAAACAAAGCAUGGAGGACAAUGCUGAGACUAGUCAUGUGUCAGAACAA
rnacentral:misc_RNA from 1 species